rnacentral:lncRNA from 1 species
GGUGCGCGGGCCUCGGCCAGGCCUGAGAUGCCGGGAGGGUUUGACCCUGGGGCUGCAUGGACAGCUUAGCGCUCGGCCGCUGGCGACAGCGGAGGGCGGAGGAUCUGCAGGUUCCGGGGGACGUGACAUGUUUUGAGCGCCUGCUGUGUCUCAAGCCCUGUCCUAGGCACUGGAGAUGAGAUGAAGAAACGAUGAGUAGAGGCCUUGCUUACGUUUAUCCUGCAACUCAUGAUGAGGCUUACUCUGCAACUCCAGUGCUCGGCUUUUUACACAACAGAGUCUCUGUUGCCCAGGCUGGAGUACAGUCGCACGAUCUUGGCUCACUGCAACCUCUGCCUCUCAGGUUCGAGUGAUUCUUCUGCCUCAGCCUCCCAAGUUGCUGGGAUUACAGAAACGGGUAUGCAGGAGAUUAGAAGCCAGUGGGCAUGAGCGUGGCUGCCACCAGGUGAAUGCCUGUGCCCUGGCGUCCUGGGGCCCAGAGGACCGGGAGCUUCCAUCAAGAGGCUGCCUCCCAGCACCAAGGCCAGAGAGUGGCCAGGGGAGGCUAAGUACAGGGAUUUCUCAGAAUGGUGGAAGGAGCUCAGCCCAGCCUUGCCCAAGAUGUAUUGCAGGGGAAUCUGGACAUUUUAGCCAUACCAAGAAUCAUUAGAAGAUGCAAGCUGGAAAAAAGAAGGUCCCAGUUUUGGUUUUGAACCCUUCAUGUUGCAGCAAAUGUGAAUCUCCUACAGAUGGGUUUGGGGACUUACCUGUUCAAAUAGCAGCCCGGUGUCCUCUGUGGGUGGGGGGAGGUUUGUCUGUCCUUUCAUUCUAGUAAAUCCACCAUCCUCUGCACGAGAGCCAGGAGAAUCCACAUCACUUCAAAAGAGCCCCCAAAUCCUUACUACGUACUACAGCCUCCUUUCGAAUGUUCCUGGUUGAGAGGGAGAUCAAUUGCAUUAUUUACAAGUCAAAAAAUUUUGUAUCAAACUUCCUAUGAGCUUGGGCACUCAUGGCCUAUGGAGGCCCACCCAGACGCAGCCCCGCCAUCAUGCUUUUUCGUUGUUUUGUGGAUGUACCCAGGGCUAUUUACACACUCUUUCAUUAAAAGGCUUAUUUUUAUAUUUAAAAUGUUCUAAUCUUGGAGUGAAUUUUACUAAAUGCUAGUGUCCAAUCUGUUCCCCAACUGAAGUUAUCAGAGACAGAAUCCCUUUUAUAUUCAAGUGGAAAUUACUCAUUUUCUCUUGGGUUUUCAAUGUAUCGUCUGACUGUGAGGCUGGCAUUAUUUUCUCUGGGUUUGAAAGCUUCCUGAGAUGUCCUGUUUGUAAGCUCCUGUCCGCAUCACGUUAUCUGCAGGGAAUGUGCUCCCUCCAGGGAGUGUCCUCGGCACUGAUGUGGGAAGAGCCCCCUCUAUAAGUCAUCAUGGCAUUCGGUCAUGGGAGAGUUCCAUACGGGAAAGAUGGAGCAGAGGAAGACAAGGUGUUGAAACCAGUACAGCACCACCUGGGAUAUGGAUGAUCCAGAAUUACAGGACACGUCUUCAUUAAGCCUGGAUGGUUCCACUUAAGACGCGGUUUCACUGGCAUCCAUAGUAAUUGACAGAUGUACUCGGGAUCCCUUGUCCAAAAGUCCUGGCUUUCGAGGAGCCCUCUUGGCUGCUGUGCUACCCGCAAACUGCCCCGAGUCCCAGCCAUUCGCCCCCUUGAGUCUCACGCCCAACAGCAAGCUCCUGACACCGGUGGAAAUAUUCCUGUGGGGGUCUCACAUGCCUGGGGCCUUGUUCUGGAAAACACCAUCACAGAGGUAGAGGCAAGAACCAGGGGGUCUGACUCUGUGGUCCCAAAAACCUUAAUGAAUAACAGUUUUGUUUUAGCGGCUUAAAAAACAUCCUGAAGUAUUUUUUAUAUUCUUUCAAGCUC